UACGUAGGGGGCAAGCGUUGUUCGGAAUCACUGGGCGUAAAGCGUGUGUAGGCGGUUAAUCAAGUCAGAAGUGAAAUCCCAGGGCUUAACCCUGGAAUUGCUUUUGAAACUGAUUGGCUAGAGUACUGGAGAGGUUAGCAGAAUUCCGAGUGUAGAGGUGAAAUUCGCAGAUAUUCGGAGGAAUACCAGUGGCGUAAGCGGCUAACUGGACAGUAACUGACGCUGAGACACGAAAGCGUGGGGAGCAAACAGG
rnacentral:rRNA from 1 species